GCAUGAACUUGAAAAUCAAAGUGCUGAGACAUGAAACUCAGCUCUGCCUCCUUGACUCACUCUGCCACCUUGGGCAAGUGAUAGCCCACCAGGGAGACUCAGUUUCCCUGCCUCUAUAAUGGUGAUAAUAAUUGUAGUUAAUGUGAAUAUAAAUAUGGUGCACUUGUGUAGAGGCUAAUGUAAUAACCCUGAAGUCAACUCUGUCAGUAUUAGUAACCUAUUACCAAAGUAAAUUUUGCAUUAUGUUUGGUAUAACUACUUACUUCAUAUCUUUUGGAUUAGGUCACUUGACAACUUUACUCAAAAGCACAGAAAUUUACCCAUUUUUAUCCCUUACUCUAUUUUUCCUCUUAGGAUCAAGUUUUGUCAAUCCAUAUUCAUUUUGCCACUUUACAGAAACAGUUCUACAAGUAGUCCCAUGUGUACUUCAGAGAUGGGAUAAGGUACAAUUCCUCUCUUUUCCUUUUUUUUUUCUUUUUUUAAAAUUAGAGUGAAAUUCUUAUAACAUAAACUAACCAAUUUUUUUUUUUGUAUUAAAGACCUAAACAUAAGACCAGAUACUAUAAAACUCUUAGAGGAAAAUAUAGGCAGAACACUCUUUGACAUCAAUUGCAGCAGUGAUCUUUUUUGGACCUACCCCCCAGAGGAUUGAAAAUAAACACAAAAAUAAUUGGACCUAAUUAAACUUAAAAGCUUUUGAACAGCAAAGGAAGCCAUAAACAAAAUGAACAGACAACUUACAGAAUGGGAGAAAAUGUUUGCAAAUGAAACCACCAACAAGGGAUUAAUCUCGGAAAUACGCAAAUAUCUCAUACAAGUUUAUACCAAAAAAGCCACAAACAUCCCAAUCAAAAAAUGGUCAGAAGAUCUAAACAGACACUUCUUCAAAGAAGACAGACAGAUGGCCAAAAAGCACAUGAAAAGAUGCUCAACAUGACUAAUCAUUAGAGAAAUGCACAUCAAAACUACAAUGAGGUAUCACCUCAUACCAGUCACAAUGGCCAUCAUUUACAAACAAUAAAUGUUGGAGAUGGUUCAGAGAAAAGGGUACCCUCCUACACUGCUGGUAAGAAUACAAAUUGGUGCAGCCACUAUGGAGAACAGUAUGGAGAUUCCUUAAAAACCCAAAUACACAACUACCAUAUGAUCCAGCAAUCCUACUUCUGGACAUAUAUCUAGAGGAAACCAUGAUUCCAAAAGAUGCUUGCACCCCAGUGUUCACUGUAGCAUUAUUUACAAUAGCUGAGACAUGGAAGCAAGCCAAAUGUCCACAAACAGAUGGAAUAAAGAAGAUGUGAUAUAUAUAUACAUAUAUAUAUGAAUAUUAUUCCACCAUAAAAAAAGAAUGAAAUAAUGUCAUUUGCAGCAACAUGGAUGGACCUAGAAAUGAUCAAACUAAGUGAAGUAAGUCUGACAGAGAAAAAACAAAUAUGAGAUUACUAAUAUGUGGAAUAAUAAAAAAUGAUGGAAAUGCUAUAAAGUUGGGUUGUGAUGAUCAUUGCACAACUCUAAAUGUAAUAAAAUUCAUUUAAAAAAAAAGAAUGAUACAGGGGAACUUGUCAACCAAACAAAAUCAGACUCAAAGAUUCUGAAACCAAACUUAGGGU
rnacentral:lncRNA from 1 species